CUGGUGUGCCAGGCAGAGUCCAAGGAGCACUGUACACCCUCAUGACCACCAGGGACAGCCAAGAACCCACUGCCUGCCUUGUACCCUCAUGUAGCUCAAUCAGAUGUCAUGCCACUGCCAGGCCUACCGCCAACUCAUAGGUGAGUAGGUAUGUGGCAAGGAAGGGUCCCAGGCAGUUUGUCAAAUGUCCCUCCCUCCCCACGAGGACGGUGAUGUGGGAGUCGGGGUCUCAGCACAGCCUUUGCCACUGGCCGAGGAACAAACAGACAGCCUGGGCCAGCUGCUGCCCUGACAGAGGUGGGCAUGGAGGAGGCUCGGUCCUGUAUGUUCCCUUGGGUGCUCACACCAGGAACGGUCCAGGAGAUUCAUGUGGCUCUUUAAGUGAGUUCCCAGAUAGUUUUUGAUUCACUCUGCUCCUUCUCCAAAAGUAUUUGCAAUCAGCUACAGGCCAGAGUGCUUCGUCUUCAAAUGAAAAGGAUUAUCCCCCGAUCCAUGGAUCUGAAAAAGCCCCGCAUGCUGAAGCAUGAAGACAACCUGAUAUGACUCUCAAAGAGCCCAUCACACAACAAAUCAUGUGUGCGCACCUUCAUUCCUGGAGCUGCAUCUGCAUGGGCCACUCAGAAGUCCAUGGGAACUCCCACAUCUUCCAUGUUCUGCUUGGGGAAAUAACCUUGACUGUGACACUGAUGCCUAUACUAUACUGGUAGAGAAUAAGAAGCCAGAGGCACCGUAAGAAUGUCCUGAAGGAAAGGGAUGGAGCAGCAAGGAACUGAAAGCAGUUCCAUUCCCAGGAAUGCCCCUCAUUAAAUGCCUGAUCACUGGCAUCAUCCAGCAAGCGACCUCUACUAAAGAGCCCCUACAGAUGGUUCAACAAAAGGUGAUCAAAUGGAAAAUGGGAUUAUAUUAUUCAGCAGAAAGAACGUCUCUUCUUUCCUUUAACAAGAGGUGGAGACCUGCCAAAGACUCUUUCUUUAACCAAACUCUAUCCAUGCUCCUCUGAGCCUUCUUCUCAACUAGGCCUCAACCUUGGCCUAUAAGACUUGAAUAAACACUAAACAGCGCCUAACA